rnacentral:misc_RNA from 1 species
AGGCUGGAGUAUUUUAUUACCCUUGUCUUUUGCGCACUUGUUGUUUCCUGGGCGGGUUCGGGACCACAUGAUAAACCUUUUUUAUGCAGUUGCAAUCAGCGUCAGUACAACAAAUGUAAAUCAUUUACUACUUUCAACAACGGAUCUCUUGGUUCUGGCAUCGAUGAAGAAUGCGUUCAUACGUGUGAAUUGCAGAAUUCAGUGAAUCAUCGAAUCUUUGGCACAUUGCGCCCUUUGGUAUUCCAAAGGGCAUGCCUGUUCGAGCGUCAUUUGUACCAGCUUUGCUUGGUGUUGGGCGUUUUUUGUCUUUGGUUUUGUCCAAAGACUCGCCUUACGAUUGGCAGCCGGCCUACUGGUUUCGCAGCGCAGCACAUUUUUGCGCAAUCAGCAAAAGAGCUCCAUCA